rnacentral:rRNA from 1 species
AUUGAACGCUGGCGGCAGGCCUAACACAUGCAAGUCGAGCGGAUGAAGGGAGCUUGCUCCUGGAUUCAGCGGCGGACGGGUGAGUAAUGCCUAGGAAUCUGCCUGGUAGUGGGGGAUAACGUCCGGAAACGGGCGCUAAUACCGCAUACGUCCUGAGGGAGAAAGUGGGGGGUCUUCGGACCUCACGCUAUCAGAUGAGCCUAGGUCGGAUUAGCUAGUUGGUGGGGUAAAGGCCUACCAAGGCGACGAUCCGUAACUGGUCUGAGAGGAUGAUCAGUCACACUGGAACUUGGACACGCACAAUACUCCUACGGGAGGCAGCAGUGUGGAAUGUUGGACAGUAGGCGAAAGCCUGAUCCAGCCAUGCCGCGUGUGUUAAGAAGGUCUUCGGAUUGUAAAGCACUUUAAGUUGGGAGGAAGGGCAGUAAGUUAAUACCUUGCUGUUUUGACGUUACCAGCAGAAUAAGCACCGGCUAACUUCGUG